UUUAAUCGACUCCCCACCUCUGCCACGCAUACAGCUCCAAAACAAUAGAACCGACCGAGAUGGUCUGUCUCGUUUCUAACAUCACCACAAAGAACUGGUAAACACAGAGGUGCUGAGCUUUGACGGAAAAUUACUCGCAAUAUUAUAACAUUUGUUAGUAUAUUACCCUCUUUUUGAAGCCUCAAAUCACCACGAGUGAGCGGUUAAAAUCUAGAUCUACACGGCGAGUUCACUUAGUAACGUUACUGGAUUGGACUUGGCCAGGUUUCCCUCCUUCAUUCGGUUCUUCAUUCUGCCGAGUCUGCUGUACAUAACGCUGCAGAAGACAAGAUGGCGAACCAACCCACCGAGCUACAGGACAGAGUUUAAAACCCUCAGCUUCACGGACGGACUUUCCCCGUAACAGCUGCACUCGACGGUGCAGGACUGAGAACUGAAUCUGGUUUUGUACGUGGUUCAAAGGGACAACUAAACUUGAUCUGUUUGGAACUCAGUAUUCAUUCUGACUGUGCACAUUGUGUGAGUCAAGGUUUUGAUUCUGCUCCCCUUUUUCAUUUCUUUGAUGGUUCUUGCUGUUUUUGUUCAUUCAUAUCUGAGAACUGUUUUAUUAAGGUUGAAUACCUAAAGGUAAUAUAAGAAACCCAGCACUUUGAUAUAUAGAGGCAAAAUAUUCAUCCCUAAUUUUUCACGAUAACAUAACUCAAGCUCUAAAACUGUAAUUAGAACACUACAAUAAAGUAUAACACCUUUCUUAACAUAUAACUCUACAUUUAAACUAUUGCUAAAUUAGCUAAAUAACAAAAACAAACUAAAAGCUAAGAAACCUAAUAAAUACAAUACUGUGCAAAUGUUGGUGUCUACCCUUUUGUUUAUAAUUUCCAGUAAAAACAGCCAGCAAUAAGUAUUAAAGUAUCAGUGUCAGAAAAUAACCAGGAAGCAUCACAAGCCUCUAACAAAAGGUAUAAUAUCAAUCAUCUGUCACUAUUUCAUUUGUCAGCUCUUUACUUUUGUGCACUGUCCGUCCACUACAACUCUUUCAUCCUUCCAAUCCUAAAACUAGCGAGUUACCUGUUCCCAAAACUGGCAUUGUUUCCCCUUCAAAGAGACACUAACAUUCACACAAGCAACUACCCAAACACACCUUAGCUGCCUUCCAAAUUUCUUUUUCAUGUGCAUCUAAAAUGGCCAAAGGAGGUAUUCCUGAGGAGCUUAGAUAUAAGGUAAUCCACUUACAUAAGAAAGGGGAAAGCCAAAGGAAAAUAAGUGGAAAAACAGGAGUUUCCAAAACUGGAGUUCAAAAAAUUAUUGAAAGGUAUAAAGAAAAUGGGACCCCUAACGACCGUGCAAGAACUGGUAGACCACCAAAACUGUCCCCAUCAGAUAAGUGGUAUUUAAAGGUUUCAUCUUUGAUGGAUAUGAGAAAAUCAAGCUCCUCUCUUGCUUUAGAUCUGAAAGCAUCCACAGGUGUUUCUGUCCAUCCUUCCACUGUGAGAAGGCAGCUCAACGCUAUGAGUAAAGGAACUGUAACUGUGAAGAAGCAGUUACCAAAAAAAGAAAAGACAACAAAGAAGAAAGAAAAGAAAAAGAAACAUAAAAUUAAAAAAAUUAAAGAGGAAGAAGAGGAAAAAUCGCAGUAGAACAUGGACUGAACAGAGCCCAGACCCUGACAUCACUCAAUUUGUUUCGAGUUACUUGGAUCAUGAGAAGUGUAAAUACAACUAAGACUGAACUUUACAAGUGUUUACAAAAAAAAAAACAACAACAGCAACCUGUAAUAAAGGCAAAAUGUGGACACACAAAAUACUGAACAUUUUGACAUCAGAUUUAGUUGUUGAGGCUUCUGUGUCUUUUACUGUUAAAUAUGUUUUCUGCUUUUUUUUUCUCUGAUGCUGAAUAAUACAUAACUUAUUAAUGGCCAAUUUGAUAGGAAAUUAAACAAAUGAAAGGGUGGUCUUUCUUUUGCACAGUACUGUAGAUCUCUAAAAGUGAAUCAUAAGAUCUGCAUUAGUCUUAAAUAUAAAUAAUCGCUUCUCAAUAAAGCGUAAAACCUUAAAUAUAUAAAACUCAUUAACCUCUUAAAAGAGAAACAAAAGACAAUUACUUGUAUUAAUUGAAGAUCUACUGGAACCAAAAAAAAGUACUUACCUAUAGGCACUUGCGGUUGAUACUUAGUAUUAAGACUGUCUUUUGUUUGUUUUUUACUUUAAUUACCUCAGUAUACUUGCCAAGCCUGCCGAAACCAAAACUUUUUUUGCAGUAUAAUUUGCAUAACUUGCCUCUGGUCUCUGUUUUUACAGCUUUGCCACUCUCUCUGAAAUUAAACUGGCCUAUAUCAGUAUUCACCUAAUACCAGAUACAUGUUAGAGCUGUGUUACCUGUUACAGUAGCCUAUCAUAUAGCAACACCUUUUUAAAAUAUAUUUUGCCAGUAAUAUCAGCGGUUAUUUUAAUAAACCUAAAAGCAAUAGGUUUCAUAGUCUGAAAGUUAAAAUAUUGUGAUGUUACUAAAGCUUGUUUUAUACACUAUAAUUGAAGAAGUCAUAUAUUCACCUUUCUGGUCUGAGCAGGACGGGACAGAUGUACUUGCGGGAUCAUUCCAUUUACUUGUAAAUUCUGUUUAUUCAGUGUGGAUAUGUAUGUGUAAGUGAUGUGUCUCUAUGACUGCUUUUACCCCGGCUCCAUCUUUAGCCUACUACCUCGGCUUCAAGAUGGCAGCUUCUGUUUUUAGCCAUGUGAUGCACUUUUGUCCAGUUUUAUAGGUAACAGUUUGUUAUACAGUGUCAGAAACCACAUAAGCAACUCUGUUUGACCUUGCUUAAGGGUUCUGGAUUUGCUUGUAUCUGCCUUUUAUCUGCCUUCUGUCCGAGUUUGCAGCUGUUCUAGUAAUGAUUCCUGGAACAGCACUAAUAAAGCUGCUCUGCAUGUACAUCCA